rnacentral:rRNA from 1 species
UGGGGAAUUUUGCGCAAUGGGGGAAACCCUGACGCAGCGACGCCGCGUGGAGGAUGACGGCCUUCGGGUUGUAAACUCCUGUCAGAAGGGACGAAAUCCCGCAAGGGACUGACGGUACCUUCAGAGGAAGCCCCGGCUAACUACGUGCCAGCAGCCGCGGUAAUACGUAGGGGGCAAGCGUUGCUCGGAAUUACUGGGCGUAAAGGGUGAGUAGGCGGUCGAGCAAGUCAAGGAUGAAAUCCCGAGGCCCAACUUCGGAAUUGUUCUUGAAACUGCUCGGCUUGAGGGUAGUUGAGGAGAGUGGAAUUCCCGGUGGAGCGGUGAAAUGCGUAGAUAUCGGGAGGAACACCUGAGGCGAAGGCGGCUCUCUAAACUACUCCUGACGCUGAAUCACGAAAGCUAGGGGAGCAAACGG